GAGUGCCUGCCUAUCAACAGGAGGUCCUGAGUUCAAAACCCUACACCAACCUCUCUUAAACUGACUGUAUAGAAAAAGGUAAAGUAAACCUAUCCCAUAUACACCUCAGCCCAGUCCUGUGCUUAGUCUAUAUUUUGAAUGGGAGACCUGU
rnacentral:snoRNA from 1 species